CAGCCGCCACGGUAAAACGAAGGGGGCUAGCGUUGUUCGGAAUUACUGGGCGUAAAGCGCACGUAGGCGGACAUUUAAGUCAGGGGUGAAAUCCCGGGGCUCAACCCCGGAACUGCCUUUGAUACUGGGUGUCUAGAGUAUGGAAGAGGUGAGUGGAAUUCCGAGUGUAGAGGUGAAAUUCGUAGAUAUUCGGAGGAACACCAGUGGCGAAGGCGGCUCACUGGUCCAUUACUGACGCUGAGGUGCGAAAGCGUGGGGAGCAAACAGGAUUAGAUACCCCCGUAGUCCCUGUCUCUUAUAC
rnacentral:rRNA from 1 species